rnacentral:rRNA from 1 species
CCUACGUGAGGCAGCAGUGGGGAAUAUUGGACAAUGGGGGGAACCCUGAUCCAGCCAUGCCGCGUGUGUGAAGAAGGCCCUCGGGUUGUAAAGCACUUUCAGUGAGGAAGAACGCCUGGUGGUUAAUACCCAUCAGGAAAGACAUCACUCACAGAAGAAGCACCGGCUAACUCCGUGCCAGCAGCCGCGGUAAUACGGAGGGUGCGAGCGUUAAUCGGAAUUACUGGGCGUAAAGCGCGCGUAGGUGGCUUGAUAAGCCGGUUGUGAAAGCCCCGGGCUCAACCUGGGAACGGCAUCCGGAACUGUCAAGCUAGAGUGCAGGAGAGGAAGGUAGAAUUCCCGGUGUAGCGGUGAAAUGCGUAGAGAUCGGGAGGAAUACCAGUGGCGAAGGCGGCCUUCUGGACUGACACUGACACUGAGGUGCGAAAGCGUGGGUAGCAAACAGGAUUAGAUACCCGUGUAGUC